GUGGGGAAUCUUGCGCAAUGGGCGAAAGCCUGACGCAGCAACGCCGCGUGGGGGACGAAGGCUCUCGGGUUGUAAACCCCUUUCAGCAGGAACGAAAUUGACGGUACCUGCAGAAGAAGCCCCGGCCAACUACGUGCCAGCAGCCGCGGUAAUACGUAGGGGGCGAGCGUUGUCCGGAUUCAUUGGGCGUAAAGAGCUCGUAGGCGGUUUGGUAAGUCGGGUGUGAAAACCCCAGGCUCAACCUGGGGACGCCACCUGAUACUGCCAUGACUUGAGUCUGGUAGGGGAUCACGGAAUUCCUGGUGUAGCGGUGAAAUGCGCAGAUAUCAGGAGGAACACCGGUGGCGAAGGCGGUGAUCUGGGCCAGUACUGACGCUGAGGAGCGAAAGCGUGGGUAGCAAACAGGAUUAGAUACCCCAGUAGUCC
rnacentral:rRNA from 1 species